GUACCCUCAAGCUUUGCUUGGUGUUGGGCGUCUUUUUGUCUCUCCCUUUUUGUGGAGAGACUCGCCUUAAAACGAUUGGCAGCCGACCUACUGGUUUUCGGAGCGCAGCACAAAUUUGCGCCUUCCAAUCCACGGGGCGGCAUCCAGCAAGCCUUUGUUUUCUAUGAACAAAUCCACA
rnacentral:misc_RNA from 1 species